AUUGAACGCUAGCGGGAUGCCUUACACAUGCAAGUCGAACGGAGUGGCGAACGGGUGAGUAAUGUAUCGGAACGUGCCCAGUAGCGGGGGAUAACUACGAGAAAGCGUAGCUAAUACCGCAUACUAUUGGAGCGGCCUAUAUCGGAAUAGCUAGUUGGUAGGGUAACGGCCCACCAAGGCGACGAUCCGUAGCUGGUUUGAGAGGACGACCAGCCACACUGGGACUGAGAGACGGCCCAGACUCCUACGGGAGGCAGCAGUGGGGAAUGUUGGACAAUGGGUGAAACCCUGAUCCAGCCAUCCCGCGUGUGCGAUGAAGGCCUUCGGGUUGAAAAGCACUUUUUGCAGGAAGGCGGUACCUGCAGAAUAAGCACCGGCUAACUACGUGCCAGCAGCCGCGGUAAUAC
rnacentral:rRNA from 1 species